AGAAAUGCGUAGUCGAUGGGAAACGGGUUAAUAUUCCCGUACUGGUGAUAAUUGCGAUGGGGGGACGGAGAAGGCUAGGCUGGCCGGGCGACGGUUGUCCCGGUUUAAGGAUGUAGGCAGGUGAAUUAGGCAAAUCCGGUUCACUAUAUGCUGAGGUCUGAUGACGAGUCACUACGGUGGCGAAGUAGCUCAUGCCCCGCUUCCAGGAAAAGCCUCUAAGCUCUAGAUUAUCACUAAUCGUACCCCAAACCGACACAGGUGGUCAGGUAGAGAAUACUCAGGCGCUUGAGAGAACUCGGGUGAAGGAACUAGGCAAAAUGGUGCCGUAACUUCGGGAGAAGGCACGCUGGCGCUAGGUGAAGUGGUUUACCCAUGGAGCUGAAGCCAGUCGCAGAUACCAGCUGGCUGCAACUGUUUAUUAAAAACACAGCACUGUGCAAACACGAAAGUGGACGUAUACGGUGUGACGCCUGCCCGGUGCUGGAAGGUUAAUUGAUGGGGUUAUCCGUAAGGAGAAGCUCUUGAUCGAAGCCCCAGUAAACGGCGGCCGUAACUAUAACGGUCCUAAGGUAGCGAAAUUCCUUGUCGGGUAAGUUCCGACCUGCACGAAUGGCGUAAUGAUGGCCACGCUGUCUCCACCCGAGACUCAGUGAAAUUGAAAUCGCUGUGAAGAUGCAGUGUACCCGCGGCAAGACGGAAAGACCCCGUGAACCUUUACUAUAGCUUGACACUGAACAUUGAGCCUUGAUGUGUAGGAUAGGUGGGAGGCUUUGAAGUGUGGACGCCAGUCUGCAUGGAGCCAACCUUGAAAUACCACCCUUUAAUGUUUGAUGUUCUAACGUUGCCCCGUUAUCCGGGGUGCGGACAGUGUCUGGUGGGUAGUUUGACUGGGGCGGUCUCCUCCCAAAGAGUAACG
rnacentral:rRNA from 1 species